AUUUAGUUCUAUUACUUAAUUAUUACAAUUAGUUUAUUAUAUGGAUAAUAAGGACUGAAGAGUGGUUUCAUUGCUCAAUUAGUUGUUACAACAGAAAGAGAAAAAUAAACAAAAUGUUUAAUUACUUAUAUAAUUUUUAUAGUUUCUAAAUUUAUCUAUUUUAGUCUUUAUAUUUAAUAAGUAGAUUUUUUAGUUUUUGAAGUUUACAUUUUAAUUUUCAUAAAAUCUUUGUUAUUAAAUUUUUUUAAUUCACUUAUUAAAAUUUUAAUUCCCAAAAGGCCCAUGUUUAUGGAAUAAGCAUUGGUUAACUCUGUGUGAGUAGUUGUGAUAAGAUAAAGGAUGCAAGUGUUAUCCGGAAUGAUUGGGCGUAAAGCGUCUAUAGGUGGUUUUUUAAGUUUGCUGUCAAAUCCCAGGGCUCAACCUUGGACAGGUGGUGAAAACUACCAAGUUGGAGUACAGUAGGGGUAGAGGAAAUUUUCGGUGGAGCGGUGAAAUGCGUAGAGAUCGAAAAGAACACCAAUGGCGAAAGCACUCUGUUGGCCCGACACUGACACUGAGAGACGAAAGCUAGGGGAACGAAUGGGAUUAGAUACCCCAGUAGUCCUAGCCGUAAACGAUGGAUACUAGGCGCUAUGUGUAUCAACCCGUGCAAUGUUGUAGCUAACGCGUUAAGUAUCCCGCCUGGGGAGAACGUUCACAAGAAGGAAACUCAAAGGAAUUGAUGGGGGGUCGCACAAGCGUUGGAGCAUGUUGUUUUAAUUCGAUGCAAAGCGAAGAACUUUACCCGGGCUUGAUAUGUUGUGAAUCCUCUUGAAAAAAAGGGGUGCCUUCGGGGACCUAGACACAGGUGGUGCAUGACUAUCAUCAGCUCGUGCCAUAAGGUGUUGGGUUAAGUCCGCAACGAGCGCAACCCUCAUGUUUAGUUGCCAACAUUGAGUUUAGAACCCUAAGCAGACUGUCAGUGAUAAGCCGGAGGAAGGUGAGGAUGACAUCAAGUCAUCAUGCCCCUUAUGACACGUGCUACACUGGAUGUGACAAAGGAUCGUGAUCCCGCAAGGGUGAACUAGCUCCAAAAACUCGUCCUUAGUUCGGAUUAUAGACUACAACUUACCUGCAUGAAGCCGAAAUCGCUAGUAAUCGCCAGUCAGUCAUACGGCGACGAAUUCAUUCCCGGGCCUUGUACACACCGCCCGUCAUACUAUGGGAGCUGACCAUGCCAGAAGUCGUUACCUUAACCGCAAGGAGGGGGAUGCCAAAGGCAAGGUUAGUGACUGAAGUGAAGUCGUAAUAAGAUAGUCGUAUUGGAAGGUGUGGCUG
rnacentral:rRNA from 1 species